rnacentral:rRNA from 1 species
CGUGUAGGCGGUUGGUUAAGUCGGGUGUGAAAGCCCGGGGCUCAGCUCCGGAAGUGCAUCCGAAACUGGCCGGCUGGAGCGCGGUAGAGGAGGGUGGAAUUCCUGGUGUAGCGGUGAAAUGCGUAGAUAUCAGGAGGAAGGCCUGUGGCGAAGGCGGCCCUCUGGCGCUGAACUGACACUGAGGCGCGAAAGCGUGGGGAGCAAACAGGAUUAGAUACCCUGGUAGUCCACGCCCUAAACGGUGGGCACUAGGUGUAGGGCUCGUAAGGGUUCUGUGCCGAAGCGAAAGCAUUAAGUGCCCCGCCUGGGGAGUACGGCCGCAAGGUUGAA